AAAGAUACGGCUCCUCCUCCCAAAGAAUGUCUUCAGCUCAUCAGCAGAGCCACCCACGUGUUCAGGAAAUACUACAUUCUUAAACAGGACCCGGCAAAUGAGGAGAUUCAGUGGAGGGUCAAAUUGUUGUGUGACUAAAAAAGAAACAAUUAGAAGAUCUCAAUUACUGUUGCGAGGAGAGGAAAAGUCUACGGGAAAUGGCUGAGCGCUUAGCUGACAAAUAUGAGGAAGCCAAGGAAAAACAAGAAGACAUCAUGAACAGAAUGAAAAAAGUACUUCACAGUUUUCAGUCUCAGCUCCCAGUUCUCUCUGACAGUGAGAGAGACACGAAGAAAGAAUUAUAGCGAUACCUCAUCAACUUCAACAUUUGGGCAAUGCUGUCAAAUGGGUUACUAUGAAAAAAGACUAUCAACAACGAAAGAUGGAAAAGGUACUGAGUCCUCAAAAGCCCACCAUUACUCUCAGCACCUACCAGUGGAAAUGCAUUCAGUCCAUCCUGAAGGAGAAGGGUGAGCACAUAAGAGAAAUGGUGAAGCAAAUUAAUGGCAUCUGA
rnacentral:lncRNA from 1 species